GAGUUUGAUCAUGGCUCAGAUUGAACGCUGGCGGCAUGCCUUACACAUGCAAGUCGAACGGCAGCAUGAUCUAGCUUGCUAGAUUGAUGGCGAGUGGCGAACGGGUGAGUAAUACAUCGGAACGUGCCCUGUAGUGGGGAUAACUAGUCGAAAGAUUAGCUAAUACCGCAUACGACCUGAGGGUGAAAGUGGGGGACCGCAAGGCCUCAUGCUAUAGGAGCGGCCGAUGUCUGAUUAGCUAGUUGGUGGGGUAAAGGCCCACCAAGGCGACGAUCAGUAGCUGGUCUGAGAGGACGAUCAGCCACACUGGGACUGAGACACGGCCCAGACUCCUACGGGAGGCAGCAGUGGGGAAUUUUGGACAAUGGGCGAAAGCCUGAUCCAGCAAUGCCGCGUGUGUGAAGAAGGCCUCGGUU
rnacentral:rRNA from 1 species